rnacentral:rRNA from 1 species
AGAGUUUGAUCCUGGCUCAGGACGAACGCUGGCGGCGUGCCUAACACAUGCAAGUCGAGGGGCAUCAUGGAGUUUGCUUGCAAACUCUGAUGGCGACCGGCGCACGGGUGAGUAACGCGUAUCCAACCUUCCCUAUAGUAGUGGAUAGCCCGGCGAAAGUCGGAUUAAUACACUAUGUUAUUCAACGAGGACAUCUGAAAUGAAUCAAAGGCUUGCCGCUAUAGGAUGGGGAUGCGUCUGAUUAGAUAGUAGGCGGGGUAACGGCCCACCUAGUCUACGAUCAGUAGGGGUUCUGAGAGGAAGGUCCCCCACAUUGGAACUGAGACACGGUCCAAACUCCUACGGGAGGCAGCAGUGAGGAAUAUUGGUCAAUGGGCGAGAGCCUGAACCAGCCAAGUAGCGUGCAGGAUGACGGCCCUAUGGGUUGUAAACUGCUUUUAUGCGGGGAUAAAGUUCACUACGUGUAGUGUUUUGUAGGUACCGCAUGAAUAAGGACCGGCUAAUUCCGUGCCAGCAGCCGCGGUAAUACGGAAGGUCCGGGCGUUAUCCGGAUUUAUUGGGUUUAAAGGGAGCGCAGGCCGGAGGUCAAGCGUGACGUGAAAUGUAGCCGCUCAACGGCUGAACUGCGUCGCGAACUGGCUUUCUUGAGUGAGUUCGAUGUGGGCGGAAUUCGUGGUGUAGCGGUGAAAUGCUUAGAUAUCACGAAGAACUCCGAUUGCGAAGGCAGCCCACAAGGCCUUUACUGACGCUAAAGCUCGAAGGUGCGGGUAUCGAACAGGAUUAGAUACCCUGGUAGUCCGCACGGUAAACGAUGGAUGCCCGCUGUUUGCGAAUACUGUGAGC